UACGGAGGGUGCAAGCGUUAAUCGGAAUUACUGGGCGUAAAGCGCGCGUAGGCGGCUCGGUCAGUCGGGUGUGAAAUCCCUGGGCUCAACCUGGGAACUGCAUUCGAUACUGCCGAGCUAGAGUGUGGGGAGAGGGUGGUGGAAUUCCCCGGUGUAGCGGUGAAAUGCGUAGAUAUCUGGAGGAACACCGGUGGCGAAGGCGGCAUCCUGGACCGGCAUUGACGCUGAGGCGCGAAAGCCAGGGGGAG
rnacentral:rRNA from 1 species